UACACAUGCAGUCGACGGCAGCACAGGAGAGCUUGCUCUCUGGGUGGCGAGUGGCGGACGGGUGAGGAAUACAUCGGAAUCUACUCUGUCGUGGGGGAUAACGUAGGGAAACUUACGCUAAUACCGCAUACGACCUACGGGUGAAAGCAGGGGACCUUCGGGCCUUGCGCGAUUGAAUGAGCCGAUGUCGGAUUAGCUAGUUGGCGGGGUAAAGGCCCACCAAGGCGACGAUCCGUAGCUGGUCUGAGAGGAUGAUCAGCCACACUGGAACUGAGACACGGUCCAGACUCCUACGGGAGGCAGCAGUGGGGAAUAUUGGACAAUGGGCGCAAGCCUGAUCCAGCCAUACCGCGUGGGUGAAGAAGGCCUUCGGGUUGUAAAGCCCUUUUGUUGGGAAAGAAAUCCAGCUGGCUAAUACCCGGUUGGGAUGACGGUACCCAAAGAAUAAGCACCGGCUAACUUCGUGCCAGCAGCCGCGGUAAUACGAAGGGUGCAAGCGUUACUCGGAAUUACUGGGCGUAAAGCGUGCGUAGGUGGUCGUUUAAGUCCGUUGUGAAAGCCCUGGGCUCAACCUGGGAACUGCAG
rnacentral:rRNA from 1 species